AAAAGUGUUUACACAAAAACCGUUGAGCAACACAGUGACGCGUCUUCCCCGAAGAGCCUCUUGGACAUGCAGUGGGAUGUAACACAAAGGCCUGCCAAAUGGAUCUCAGGCAGGCUGGCUCUGUUACCCUCCCUUUUCCUUCCUCCUCCUCCUUAUCCAGUCAUUGAUAUCAGAAAGAGCUGAAGGCUACUGGGGUGUGUUUGCGUAAGAAAGUGGGAAGUAUGCAGACAUGUAAGUGGCAGCUACUUGGACCAGUAUCCAGAAAGAGCAAUGGUUCCCUUAGUGUCAAGACCCCAAGCCCACAGAUACAGGGUCUUCAGUUUCUACUGCUCUAAAACUAGGUCUUGGGUGUUGUCACAGGGUAGCUGGAACUUGGGGUGACUGAAGAGGAAAGACAGAUUCCCCAGGAGGCCUGCCUAGCACUCACCCACUCAGCUUGAUACACCCUGAAUGUUGUGUUUAUGAUCUAGCAGGUGGGCCAUUCUAUGGUGCUGAGAGCAGAAUGAAAUAUCCUGGCUUUGGGUUGCAUUUUCUAGUGCAUUGGGAAUACCUGGAUGUGCCUGGUCCAUCACCUUCCUCAGUGCUGGCAAGGAAAAUCUGCACUUGAUACAGGUAAAAGCUCACAAGGGAAGGAAGAAAACCCAGCCCUGCUCCUCCAGGAACUUACACAGGGCUCUUCAGGACUGGGGGAUGGGCAGAUGCCAAGGGAGGAGGCCUGGUUGAAGGGAAAAUGGAAAUGGGAGGGACGAUUCCCAGAAGACAGGACAUGUGCACACACUGAGUGUUGAAGAAGAGAGGACAAGUGACUCAUUAGGAGGCAGAGGAAGAUGCCCUCCAGCAAGGAAGAGACUAUGCAACCCACAGGUGCUUGAAGUUCCUGAGGCACAGCAGGUUACCUCCUGGAAGGGUCACAAGACCUAGGACACCACACCGAUAUCUCUACCCCGUGACCACUCAUUCGAAGCGGGGCAUGGUGUUGCCUACCUGGAAUCUCAGCACUGGGGAAGCAGAGGCGUGAAGAGCAGGAGUUCAAGGUCGUCCUCAAUGACCUAGCAAGUUUAAGGCCAUCUUGACUACAUAAGACCUCCAUCUUAUAAACCAAUAUUAUGGGCCAUGUUUGUCUUCUUAAGACCCAAUUAUCAACUACCUCUCAUCUGAUAUUCUUUCAACUUCAAGUGGAAACUUCAGGAUGUCUCAACAUGCCACAAGCGUCCAGCACAUCAAAAGUUAAGCUCGUCAUCAGAGCAAGAGUUGUACUUCCAGCAACACCUACUGAUGACUCUUCUGUCUCACAGUGGCCAUCAGAGCAUGCCCUACCUGAACUCGAACUCUAUCCCUGGGAUAUUGUGGACAGGAGCGAUGGAAGGAAAAAGGCCACAGAUGGAAACAUGUCUACAGCUAAGAUCACCUACAGAACCUAUAAAUGCCUGGAUACUGACCAUCUGGACGUGAGCAGCCCCAAAGCUGGUCAUUCGUGAAGAGUGAAGUACUCAGUGUGCGGGGUUGGCUUCUAAAAGCACCUGUGAAAUUUCCAUGCCCUGGUGGCCCUCUUUUCCUGAGACACUGGGCCUGGCCACAGUGAGUGACUGGAAGCAUCUGUUCCCCGUGAGGCAAAGCGGUGGAUCUAAGGGAGGCUGAUAUGACUUACACCUGGUACCGGAGGGAAGGAGCAGUCAAUGGCAGAGGCCACAGCAAGCGCAGGAACACUCCUGGUCUUGACCUUUAAAUGCUGCAGUGUUCUCAGGAUCGGGACAAUGGAACAGGUGCUCGGACGUGUGGGUAAAUAGCCUGCUGUAACAAGCUCAACUGAGCGUAUACAAGUCAGAGGGAGAACUCAACAUCGCCAGCCCCCACUCUUCAUUGUUUUCUGUACAUACGUGGGGCUUUCCCCUUAGCAUCCAACACCCGGAACAUCCGGGCGUUCUAGGGAAAACUCUACGUGGUCUCACUAUGAAUGACUCCAUUCUAAGUUGUAUUUUAUUGAACCCUGUUCCUGAACUUGCCCAUUCAGGCUAUUUUCCUGAUGUAUUAGAAGCUAUAAAAGAAUUAGAAACAAGGAUCCUGGAGAGGCAACAGAGCUGGUGGGCAUGGCUCUGGAAAUACACCCCAACUUCAAAGCCCAGCUAGGAGCUAUGUGCCUGGGAAUACGUUACUAAACCACCCCAUCCCUCUGUUCCAUAAAAGGCUUAUAUAGUUUCUAAGGAAACACUAUACAAAGUCACCUAUACAAAAUAAAAUAAUAAGUUCUUGAUGAGUGGUGUACACCUGGCUUAUCAAUAGCUAGUUUCUACGGUGGCUGACCAGGUGCUCU